CAGUUCAGAUUGCAGGCUGCAAUCGCCUGCAUGAAGUCGGAAUUGCUAGUAAUCGCAGAUCAGCAUGCUGCGGUGAAUACGUUCCCGGGCCUUGUACACACCGCCCGUCACACCAUGGGAGUCGGUAACACCCGAAGUCGGUAGCCUAACCGUAAGGAGGGCGCCGCCGAAGGUGGGAUUGAUGACUGGGGUGAAGUCGUAACAAGGUACC
rnacentral:rRNA from 1 species